UUCAAAUUAAAGCUCCUAACGUGUUUCAGAAUGUAGGGCCAUUUUCAGGCGCACAGCUGGGAUCUACCUAUUGUAUAAGAAUAAUUCCCCUUUUUGUAGUUAGAGGUUAAGAGUUGAGAUUUUAAUGCACACCACAUCUUCUUGGUAAUUGUAUGAGUUGAACGACACUGACUGUGUAUGUCCGAACUCUUGUAAUUUCAGUUGUAAUAUAAUAUAUUUAUUUAUGUUUUAUUUUGAUACUCCACACCUAAAAAUACUUUUACUUGUUUCAAUUUAGAUGUAUUUGUUUAAGCUAUCGUUUAUAAAAUACGCGUUGUCACUGCUGAUGAACGUGUAGCUGGUACAGACGGAAACGUGACCAUAAGGCUGAAAGGAACCGCUGGGAACACUGGGAUCAUAGGGCUGCCUGGACGAUUCGAACAAAAUAGCAUUGUUGACAUUGCCAAGCUCCUUCCUGAUGUUGGAACUAUCAUAACAAUUACUAUUGGAGUAACUCGUCUUAACAUGUUUGACGGAUGGAAGCCCAGCCAUGUGACUGUACACGAUACACGGCGAAAACAUUUCUACUUGUUUCAACACGACGGAACUGAAUUGGACAAUAGAUCAAUAACACUUGGACUGAACGGAUGUGUUACUACAUAUACGAUACAAAGGGGCUUUCUCAGAGACCGAGGACAGUAUUAUACGCUCAAAUAUGGUAUUAAUACGGUAUCCGAAUGUAUGAUGUUUUGUUUACAAUAUAACUGUUUUCAAGCAGAGUAUAUGGCGCCGAAUAAAUCAUGUGGUAUAGCUACACGUUUUACUAGACCGGUAACUGAACGGAGAGAUGAUGCAAUACAUGUGCUAACACCGGAUUGUGUGCGUAUGUGACAAUCCAGUACAUCCACGAAACAUCAUGUUUGGCAUGAUUGAAUAAAUUUCUAACAACUUAACAUCCUAUAAUACCAAUUAUAUACGGAUUUAACUUAACAAAUUUAAGGAUAUAUUAUGUACACAAUCAUUGACGUGUUUGUCUAAAUUAAAUUGCUAAAAUCCGUUUUAGUGACUUAACAUUUAAAGAAUGAAAUCCUGUAAGUAAAUGUACGUUCAGGAAUAGCCUCAUAGUGGAUUUUAAAUGUAAAAUUCCUUUUGCGGUUUUAUUCAAAGAUUUAUUCUUGGCGAAGCGGUGCUUUUGAUGCUUUAAAAAAGUGUAACUAUAUAUAAAAUGCAUGCGUAGAAUUUCAUGAAAGUAUCUAUAAAUAAUUAAAUUGUUUUAGUGUAGUAAUUGUCUUGUGUUCCCUGUAACCAUGUUCAGAGUUUUGUAAUACGUCAUAGAACAAAUGCAUAACAGCGUCCAUUUUUAUUUUAAAUGAAGCAUGUUACCAUUUUUAUUACAUAGGGUGGACUAUAUUUUUUAAUAUAAAAAAGAAACAGAUAAUGUUAGGAGAUGUAUUUACAUAAAAUGUAUCCAUGUGCCGUGUAAGGCAUGAAGUGUCAAAAUAAAAAUUUGAGAAUGUA